AGCGAACGCUGGCGGCAGGCCUAACACAUGCAAGUCGAACGAACCUUUCGGGGUUAGUGGCGGACGGGUGAGUAACACGUGGGAACGUGCCUUUAGGUUCGGAAUAACUCAGGGAAACUUGUGCUAAUACCGAAUGUGCCCUUCGGGGGAAAGAUUAAUCGCCUUUAGAGCGGCCCGCGUCAGAUUAGCUAGUUGGUUGAGGUAAUGGCUCACCAAGGCGACGAUCAGUAGCUGGUCUGAGAGGAUGAUCAGCCACAUUGGGACUGAGACACGGCCCAAACUCCUACGGGAGGCAGCAGUGGGGAAUCUUGCGCAAUGGGCGAAAGCCUGACGCAGCCAUGCCGCGUGAAUGAUGAAGGUCUUAGGAUUGUAAAAUUCUUUCACCGGGGACGAUAAUGACGGUACCCGGAGAAGAAGCCCCGGCUAACUUCGUG
rnacentral:rRNA from 1 species